UGCAAGUCGAACGGGAUUCUAGACUUCGGUUUAGAUGAGAGUGGCGCACGGGUGCGUAACGCGUAUGCAACCUACCUUUUACAGGGGGAUAGCUCGGGGAAACUCGAAUUAAUACCCCAUGGCACCAUAAGAUCGCAUGGUCUAAUGGUUAAAGAUUCAUCGGUAAAAGAUGGGCAUGCGUCUGAUUAGCUAGAUGGCGGGGUAACGGCCCACCAUGGCGAUGAUCAGUAGGGGUUCUGAGAGGAUGAUCCCCCACACUGGUACUGAGACACGGACCAGACUCCUACGGGAGGCAGCAGUAGGGAAUAUUGGUCAAUGGGCGAGAGCCUGAACCAGCCAUGCCGCGUGUAGGAUGACGGCCUUCUGGGUUGUAAACUACUUUUCUACGGGAAGAAAAAGCUUAUGCGUAAGCAAUUGACGGUACCGUAGGAAUAAGCACCGGCUAACUCCGUGCCAGCAGCCGCGGUAAUACGGAGGGUGCGAGCGUUGUCCGGAUUUAUUGGGUUUAAAGGGUGCGUAGGCGGCCCCUUAAGUCAGUGGUGAAAGCCCGCAGCUUAACUGCGGAACUGCCAUUGAUACUGGGGGGCUUGAGUACGGUUGAAGUAGGCGGAAUUUAUGGUGUAGC
rnacentral:rRNA from 1 species